AAACCAGCACCUCAAGUGGUCAGGAGGAUUAUUGGGCCUAAAGCAUCCGUAGCCUGUUCUGUAAGUUUCCGGUUAAAUCCAUUAGCUCAACUAAUGGGCCGCCGAAAAUACUGCAAAACUAGGGAGUGGGAGAGGUAGACGGUACUCGGUAGGAAGGGGUAAAAUCCUUUGAUCUAUUGAUGACCACCUGUGGCGAAGGCGGUCUACCAGAACACGUUCGACGGUGAGGGAUGAAAGCUGGGGGAGCAAACCGGAUUAGAUACCCGGGUAGUCC
rnacentral:rRNA from 1 species